UAGGGAAUCUUCGGCAAUGGACGGAAGUCUGACCGAGCAACGCCGCGUGAGUGAAGAAGGUUUUCGGAUCGUAAAGCUCUGUUGUAAGAGAGGAACGAGUGUGAGAGUGGAAAGUUCACACUGUGACGGUAUCUUACCAGAAAGGGACGGCUAACUACGUGCCAGCAGCCGCGGUAAUACGUAGGUCCCGAGCGUUGUCCGGAUUUAUUGGGCGUAAAGCGAGCGCAGGCGGUUAGAUAAGUCUGAAGUUAAAGGCUGUGGCUUAACCAUAGUACGCUUUGGAAACUGUUUAACUUGAGUGCAAGAGGGGAGAGUGGAAUUCCAUGUGUAGCGGUGAAAUGCGUAGAUAUAUGGAGGAACACCGGUGGCGAAAGCGGCUCUCUGGCUUGUAACUGACGCUGAGGCUCGAAAGCGUGGGGAGCAAACAGGAUUAGAUACCCUGGUAGUCCACGCCGUAAACGAUGAGUGCUAGGUGUUAGACCCUUUCCGGGGUUUAGUGCCGCAGCUAACGCAUUAAGCACUCCGCCUGGGGAGUACGACCGCAAGGUU
rnacentral:rRNA from 1 species